UGGUUCCCAUAUUGGCCAAAGGCCAAGGGAUCAAAAGGGAAUGCGACGGUUGUACCCUCAAGGGCGACCCCACCGCAGCCGACCCCGCGACUGUAGAGCGGCGAGGAUCAAUGCAAAGCCUGACGCAUAUGCAGAAGGCAGCCACUGGGAAACCGGGAAGGCAGCAUUCAUCCUGUGACCCGCGAGCCAGGAGACCUGCCAGUCAU
rnacentral:ncRNA from 1 species